CUACGGUGAAUACGUUCCCGGACCUUGUACACACCGCCCGUCAGGCCAUGGAAGCUGGGUGUACCUAAAGUCGAUAACCGUAAGGAGUCGCCUAGGGUAAAACUAGUAACUGGGGCU
rnacentral:rRNA from 1 species